GGGACACGUGGUAUCCUGUCUGAAUAUGGGGGGACCAUCCUCCAAGGCUAAAUACUCCUGACUGACCGAUAGUGAACCAGUACCGUGAGGGAAAGGCGAAAAGAACCCCGGCGAGGGGAGUGAAAAAGAACCUGAAACCGUGUACGUACAAGCAGUGGGAGCCUCUUAAUGGGGUGACUGCGUACCUUUUGUAUAAUGGGUCAGCGACUUAUAUUCUGUAGCAAGGUUAACCGAAUAGGGGAGCCGAAGGGAAACCGAGUCUUAACUGGGCGUUAAGUUGCAGGGUAUAGACCCGAAACCCGGUGAUCUAGCCAUGGGCAGGUUGAAGGUUGGGUAACACUAACUGGAGGACCGAACCGACUAAUGUUGAAAAAUUAGCGGAUGACUUGUGGCUGGGGGUGAAAGGCCAAUCAAACCGGGAGAUAGCUGGUUCUCCCCGAAAGCUAUUUAGGUAGCGCCUCGUGAAUUCAUCUCCGGGGGUAGAGCACUGUUUCGGCAAGGGGGUCAUCCCGACUUACCAACCCGAUGCAAACUGCGAAUACCGGAGAAUGUUAUCACGGGAGACACACGGCGGGUGCUAACGUCCGUCGUGAAGAGGGAAACAACCCAGACCGCCAGCUAAGGUCCCAAAGUCAUGGUUAAGUGGGAAACGAUGUGGGAAGGCCCAGACAGCCAGGAUGUUGGCUUAGAAGCAGCCAUCAUUUAAAGAAAGCGUAAUAGCUCACUGGUCGAGUCGGCCUGCGCGGAAGAUGUAACGGGGCUAAACCAUGCACCGAAGCUGCGGCAGCGACACUAUGUGUUGUUGGGUAGGGGAGCGUUCUGUAAGCCUGUGAAGGUGGCCUGUGAGGGUUGCUGGAGGUAUCAGAAGUGCGAAUGCUGACAUAAGUAACGAUAAAGCGGGUGAAAAGCCCGCUCGCCGGAAGACCAAGGGUUCCUGUCCAACGUUAAUCGGGGCAGGGUGAGUCGACCCCUAAGGCGAGGCCGAAAGGCGUAGUCGAUGGGAAACAGGUUAAUAUUCCUGUACUUGGUGUUACUGCGAAGGGGGGACGGAGAAGGCUAUGUUGGCCGGGCGACGGUUGUCCCGGUUUAAGCGUGUAGGCUGGUUUUCCAGGCAAAUCCGGAAAACCAAGGCUGAGGCGUGAUGACGAGGCACUACGGUGCUGAAGCGACAAAUGCCCUGCUUCCAGGAAAAGCCUCUAAGCAUCAGGUAACAUCAAAUCGUACCCCAAACCGACACAGGUGGUCAGGUAGAGAAUACCAAGGCGCUUGAGAGAACUCGGGUGAAGGAACUAGGCAAAAUGGUGCCGUAACUUCGGGAGAAGGCACGCUGAUAUGUAGGUGAAGCGACUUGCUCGUGGAGCUGAAAUCAGUCGAAGAUACCAGCUGGCUGCAACUGUUUAUUAAAAACACAGCACUGUGCAAACACGAAAGUGGACGUAUACGGUGUGACGCCUGCCCGGUGCCGGAAGGUUAAUUGAUGGGGUUAGCGGUAACGCGAAGCUCUUGAUCGAAGCCCCGGUAAACGGCGGCCGUAACUAUAACGGUCCUAAGGUAGCGAAAUUCCUUGUCGGGUAAGUUCCGACCUGCACGAAUGGCGUAAUGAUGGCCAGGCUGUCUCCACCCGAGACUCAGUGAAAUUGAACUCGCUGUGAAGAUGCAGUGUACCCGCGGCAAGACGGAAAGACCCCGUGAACCUUUACUAUAGCUUGACACUGAACAUUGAGCCUUGAUGUGUAGGAUAGGUGGGAGGCUUUGAAGUGUGGACGCCAGUCUGCAUGGAGCCGACCUUGAAAUACCACCCUUUAAUGUUUGAUGUUCUAACGUUGGCCCCUAAUCGGGGUUGCGGACAGUGUCUGGUGGGUAGUUUGACUGGGGCGGUCUCCUCCUAAAGAGUAACGGAGGAGCACGAAGGUUGGCUAAUCCUGGUCGGACAUCAGGAGGUUAGUGCAAUGGCAUAAGCCAGCUUGACUGCGAGCGUGACGGCGCGAGCAGGUGCGAAAGCAGGUCAUAGUGAUCCGGUGGUUCUGAAUGGAAGGGCCAUCGCUCAACGGAUAAAAGGUACUCCGGGGAUAACAGGCUGAUACCGCCCAAGAGUUCAUAUCGACGGCGGUGUUUGGCACCUCGAUGUCGGCUCAUCACAUCCUGGGGCUGAAGUAGGUCCCAAGGGUAUGGCUGUUCGCCAUUUAAAGUGGUACGCGAGCUGGGUUUAGAACGUCGUGAGACAGUUCGGUCCCUAUCUGCCGUGGGCGCUGGAGAACUGAGGGGGGCUGCUCCUAGUACGAGAGGACCGGAGUGGACGCAUCACUGGUGUUCGGGUUGUCAUGCCAAUGGCACUGCCCGGUAGCUAAAUGCGGAAGAGAUAAGUGCUGAAAGCAUCUAAGCACGAAACUUGCCCCGAGAUGAGUUCUCCCUGACUCCUUGAGAGUCCUGAAGGAACGUUGAAGACGACGACGUUGAUAGGCCGGGUGUGUAAGCGCAGCGAUGCGUUGAGCUAACCGGUACUAAUGAACCGUGAGGCUUAACCUUACAACGCCGAAG
rnacentral:rRNA from 1 species